rnacentral:rRNA from 1 species
AAAUUGAAGAGUUUGAUCAUGGCUCAGAUUGAACGCUGGCGGCAGGCCUAACACAUGCAAGUCGAGCGGCAGCGGGAAAGUAGCUUGCUACUUUUGCCGGCGAGCGGCGGACGGGUGAGUAAUGCCUGGGGAUCUGCCCAGUCGAGGGGGAUAACUACUGGAAACGGUAGCUAAUACCGCAUACGCCCUACGGGGGAAAGCAGGGGACCUUCGGGCCUUGCGCGAUUGGAUGAACCCAGGUGGGAUUAGC